AGCUCCAAUAGCGUAUAUUAAAGUUGUUGCAGUUAAAAAGCUCGUAGUUGGAUUUCUAAACGGAGUGAACCGGUCCUUCCCGAAAGGGUUGUGUACUUUUGUGUCAUCUCUGUUUAUCUUUGAGUCGAAUUAUUCUGACAUUCAUUUGUUGGAGUAGGGAAGCUCAUCGUUUACUGUGAAAAAAUUAGAGUGUUCAAAGCAGGCUUACGCCGCUGAAUAUAUUAGCAUGGAAUAAUAAGAUAGGACCUUUGGUGGCUAUUUUGUUGGUUUAAACGCCAAGGUAAUGAUUAAUAGGGAUAGUUGGGGGUAUUCAUAUUUAAUUGUCAGAGGUGAAAUUCUUGGAUUUCUGAAAGAUGAACUACUGCGAAAGCAUUUACCAAGGAUGUUUUCA
rnacentral:rRNA from 1 species